rnacentral:misc_RNA from 1 species
UACAGAGGGCGCGAGCGUUAAUCGGAUUUACUGGGCGUAAAGCGUGCGUAGGAGGCUUGUUAAGUCGGAUGUAAAAGCCCCGGGCUCAACCUGGGAAUAGCAUUCGAUACUGGCAGGCUAGAGUUCGGUAGAGGGUGGCGGAAUUUCCGGUGUAGCGGUGAAAUGCGUAGAUAUCGGAAGGAACACCAAUGGCGAAGGCAGCCACCUGGGCCUGAACUGACUCUGAGGCACGAAAGCGUGGGGAGCAAACAGG